AUGGCGUUCAAGAAGGAUGAUAACUUCGGGGAAUGGUACUCCGAGGUUGUUGUUAACAGUGAAAUUAUUGAGUACCAUGACAUCCCUGGCUGUUAUAUUUUGAGGCCAUGGGUGAUGGAGAUCUGGGAAUUGCUGAAAGAAUUCUUUGAUGCAGAAAUAAAAAAGCUGAAGUCGAAAUCUUAUUAUUUCCCUCUGUUCGUUACUGAGAAUGUUGUGCAGAAGAAGAAGGACCACUUUGAGAGCUUUGCUCCUGAGGUGGCAUGGGUUACUAAAACAGGAAAUUCUGAGCUGGAAGCUCCUAUUGCAAUCCGUCCCACGAGUGAGACGGUCAUGUAUCCAUACUUCGCUAAAUGGAUAAGAAGCCAUCGUAACUUACCUUUGAGAUGCAACCAGUGGUGCAGCGUUGUUCGAUGGGAGUGUAGCAAUCCAAUUCCUUUAAUAAGGAGCCGCGAAUUUCUUUGGCAAGAAGGGCAUACAGUUUUUGCAACUAAAGAGGAGUCAGAUGAAGAGGUUCUCCAUAUAUUGGAACUCUACCGAAGGAUAUAUGAAGAAUUUUUAGCAGUUCCAGUGUCCAAAGGGAGGAAAAGUGAGAUGGAAAAAUUCGCUGGUGGACUUUAUACAACUAGUGUUGAGGCCUUCAUUCCAAACACUGGCCGUGGUAUACAAGCUGCAACUUCAAAUUGUCUUGGUCAAAACUUUGCAAAGAUGUUUGAAAUCUUUUUCGAGGGUGAGAAUGAUCCCACUCAAAAAAAGAAGAAUAAGAAAGAUAAAAGGUCCUUGGUGUGGCAGAAUUCUUGGGCGUACACCACCCGCUCGAUUGGGGUGAUGGUGAUGACCCAUGGGGAUGACAAGGGCUUAGUGCUACCACCAAGGGUGGCACCUAUCCAGGUCAUCGUUAUUCCUGAUCCAUUAUUAGAGGAUGCGGACACGGCUGCUAUUAAAGGAGUGUGUGAGACGAUUGUAUACACUCUAAACCAAGCUGGGAUUCGUGCAGACUUGGAUGCUCGUGAGAACCACGCUCCUGAAUGGAAAUAUUCUCACUGGGAAAUGAAAGGUGUUCCCCUAAGAAUCGAGAUAGAUGUGAAAGAUCUGGCAAACAAGCAGGUGCGCGUCGUCCGCCGAGACAAUGGUGCAAAGGUUGAUAUUCCUUCGACCGAUUUGGUUGAGCAUGUAAAGGUGUUGCUGGAUGGGAUUCAAGAUAGCUUGUUUGAAACAGCCAAGCAGAAGAGAGACGCUUGCAUUGAAGUCGUCCACACUUGGGACGAAUUCACAGCAGCUUUGAAUGACAAGAAGCUGAUCUUGGCUCCAUGGUGCGAGGAAGAGGAGGUUGAGAAGGACGUGAGAGCUCGGACCGAAGGCGAUCUCGGCUCUGCCAAAACAUUGUGUGCUCCAUUCGAUCAACCAGAUCUUCCAGAAGGAACUGUGUGCUUUGCUUCUGGAAAGCCCGCCAAGACCUGGUCGUUUUGGGGCCGCAGCUAUUGA
rnacentral:rRNA from 1 species